rnacentral:rRNA from 1 species
UACGUAGGGGGCAAGCGUUGUCCGGAAUCAUUGGGCGUAAAGCGCGCGUAGGCGGCCAGACAAGUCCGGUGUGAAAGUCACAGGCUCAACCUGUGAAUGCCGCUGGAAACUGUCUGGCUAGAGUCCGGAAGGGGCGAGUGGAAUUCCUGGUGUAGCGGUGAAAUGCGCAGAUAUCAGGAGGAACACCUAUGGCGAAGGCAGCUCGCUGGGACGGUACUGACACUGAGGCGCGAAAGCGUGGGGAGCGAACAGG